rnacentral:rRNA from 1 species
GGGCCACUGACUGUAGUCUGACGGAGCAUACCGCGUGAGGGAUGACGGCCUUCGGGUUGUAAACCUCUUUUUUCAGGGAAGAAGUUAUGACGUGUACCUGAAGAAUAAGCAUCGGCUAACUCCGUGCCAGCAGCCGCGGUAAGACGGAGGAUGCAAGUGUUAUCCGGAAUUAUUGGGCGUAAAGCGUCUGUAGGUGGUUUAAUAAGUCUGUUGUUAAAAGUUAAAGCUUAACUUUAAAGUUGCAAUGGAUACUGUUAAGCUUGAGUAUAAUCGAGGUAGAAGGAAUUUCCAGUGAAGCGGUGAAAUGCGUAGAUAUUGGAAAGAACACCAAUGGCGAAAGCAUUCUGCCAGAUUUUAACUGACACUGAGAGACGAAAGCUAGGGUAGCAAAUGGGAUUAGAUACCCCCAGUAGUCAA